rnacentral:rRNA from 1 species
UUUAUGGAGAGUUUGAUCCUGGCUCAGGAUGAACGCUGGCGGCGUGCCUAAUACAUGCAAGUCGAGCGAACGGACGAGAAGCUUGCUUCUCUGAUGUUAGCGGCGGACGGGUGAGUAACACGUGGAUAACCUACCUAUAAGACUGGGAUAACUUCGGGAAACCGGAGCUAAUACCGGAUAAUAUUUUGAACCGCAUGGUUCAAAAGUGAAAGACGGUCUUGCUGUCACUUAUAGAUGGAUCCGCGCUGCAUUAGCUAGUUGGUAAGGUAACGGCUUACCAAGGCAACGAUGCAUAGCCGACCUGAGAGGGUGAUCGGCCACACUGGAACUGAGACACGGUCCAGACUCCUACGGGAGGCAGCAGUAGGGAAUCUUCCGCAAUGGGCGAAAGCCUGACGGAGCAACGCCGCGUGAGUGAUGAAGGUCUUCGGAUCGUAAAACUCUGUUAUUAGGGAAGAACAUAUGUGUAAGUAACUGUGCACAUCUUGACGGUACCUAAUCAGAAAGCCACGGCUAACUACGUGCCAGCAGCCGCGGUAAUACGUAGGUGGCAAGCGUUAUCCGGAAUUAUUGGGCGUAAAGCGCGCGUAGGCGGUUUUUUAAGUCUGAUGUGAAAGCCCACGGCUCAACCGUGGAGGGUCAUUGGAAACUGGAAAACUUGAGUGCAGAAGAGGAAAGUGGAAUUCCAUGUGUAGCGGUGAAAUGCGCAGAGAUAUGGAGGAACACCAGUGGCGAAGGCGACUUUCUGGUCUGUAACUGACGCUGAUGUGCGAAAGCGUGGGGAUCAAACAGGAUUAGAUACCCUGGUAGUCCACGCCGUAAACGAUGAGUGCUAAGUGUUAGGGGGUUUCCGCCCCUUAGUGCUGCAGCUAACGCAUUAAGCACUCCGCCUGGGGAGUACGACCGCAAGGUUGAAACUCAAAGGAAUUGACGGGGACCCGCACAAGCGGUGGAGCAUGUGGUUUAAUUCGAAGCAACGCGAAGAACCUUACCAAAUCUUGACAUCCUUUGACAACUCUAGAGAUAGAGCCUUCCCCUUCGGGGGACAAAGUGACAGGUGGUGCAUGGUUGUCGUCAGCUCGUGUCGUGAGAUGUUGGGUUAAGUCCCGCAACGAGCGCAACCCUUAAGCUUAGUUGCCAUCA